rnacentral:rRNA from 1 species
UUGAACGCUGGCGGCAUGCCUUACACAUGCAAGUCGAACGGCAGCACGGGUGCUUGCACCUGGUGGCGAGUGGCGAACGGGUGAGUAAUACAUCGGAACAUGUCCUGUAGUGGGGGAUAGCCCGGCGAAAGCCGGAUUAAUACCGCAUACGAUCUACGGAUGAAAGCGGGGGACCUUCGGGCCUCGCGCUAUAGGGUUGGCCGAUGGCUGAUUAGCUAGUUGGUGGGGUAAAGGCCUACCAAGGCGACGAUCAGUAGCUGGUCUGAGAGGACGACCAGCCACACUGGGACUGGGACACGGCCCAGACUCCUACGGGAGGCAGCAGUGGGGAAUUUUGGACAAUGGGCGAAAGCCUGAUCCAGCAAUGCCGCGUGUGUGAAGAAGGCCUUCGGGUUGUAAAGCACUUUUGUCCGGAAAGAAAUCCUUGGCCCUAAUACGGUCGGGGGAUGACGGUACCGGAAGAAUAAGCACCGGCUAACUACGUG